rnacentral:lncRNA from 1 species
CAGAAGAGGUGGGGGUGUGGGAGGAGCUGCCCAAAGUAACCUGGGGAGCAAAAAGGGUGCUCCCUUCCUAGGACAGAGAGAUGAUAGGACCGCCCCUCUCCGCUCCUGCACAGGCCACUUGGGUGGACCCACAUGGGGUACGUGAGGACAGCAGCCAGGUCUCUCUGCUCUUCAGGGAAGUGAGAUGACUCACCAGCUCAGAGGACUGGCAGAGCGCAAGGCGUUUUCUGGUGUGCCCAGGUGAGCUCUGCUGCCCAGCUCGACUGGAUUUCAGCUCCAAGAAUUGCACCUGGCACAGAGGAGGCACUCACUGAAUGGUUGCUGAGCGAAUGGAUACGUUAGUAGGAAGCAGUUUUUAUACAUUUUGUGAUCCAUUCACAGGCUUGUGGCAGAUGAAUAAUGUCUGUAAGAUUGCAGAGGAGAGGAGACUGAAUCAGAGAGGAGACUGACCCUAACUCCAGGCUUCGGUGCAAAACCCUCCUGUUAGGGGAUUGGCAGAGUCCCUCAAAAUCACGUUUAAAUCGCUCUGCAGAGCGCGGUGCAGAGCGCCAUCUGCUGGACAAAACAUAAAAAACUGAGUUUGUUCUAAGAUCCUGGAGGAUUGCUUCAAAGCAGCUUUUCUUGGAAAAGAGCAGCAGGCACCAUGAAAGGAAUUGAAAGGCAAUGUUCUCAGACAAGCAUGACAUCUAAGACACUAACUGAGAUGAAAUCCAAACUCCUUGGCAUGGUGAGCCUAGCGCCUGCUCUAUGUGAUCUCUUCCUCACAUGCCUCACUGAAGCACCAGGACUUCCCAGGUGGAGAAACUGAGGCUCAGAUUUACACGUCUAAUGCAUUGGACACGGGGACUGUGAAACCAGGUCUCUCUUCAGCACGCACCAUGCUUUCUCUAGCCCUCUUUAUCACCAGAUAAUGAGUCCAUUAUUAUUUUCUUUUUAC